rnacentral:rRNA from 1 species
UACGUAGGCAGCGAGCGUUGUUCGGAGUUACUGGGCGUAAAGGGUGUGUAGGCGGUUGUUUAAGUUUGGUGUGAAGUCUCCCGGCUCAACUGGGAGGGUGCGCCGAAUACUGAAUGACUAGAGUGCGGGAGAGGAAAGUGGAAUUCCUGGUGUAGCGGUGAAAUGCGUAGAUAUCAGGAGGAACACCGGUGGUGUAGACGGCUUUCUGGACCGUAACUGACGCUGAGACACGAAAACGUGAGUAGCAAACAGG